UGAUUUAACCGAUUUAUUAAUAAUCGCGGGCAGACUGUUUCCAUUGGGUUGAAAACUCUGGUUCAAAGUGCGAGGCCUUUGGUUCAAAGUAAAUCUUCAAUUAAAAUAUUUGUUACAGUCGCUAGUUGGAGCCAUCAGUGCCAUAAAAAUGAAAAACCGUGAAACAUCUCAAUCCUUGUAACUAAUUAACGAUCUUAAUCCAAAAUUGUAAUUCAUAAAAUGCUAGUUCGAAAAUUAUUUAUGUAUUGGAUUUGUAAUUACUAAACUAACUUUAUUUAACUAACUAAACUUUACUAUUAUUGCAAGGCAAGGGUAUAUUAAUCAACAUUGAUCUCAUUUUACAUCUAAAAUUAAUGAUGCAGGUAGGGGUGAGAACGGGACAAGAAACGGGACGUGUCAAGUACCAUGAUCCUUCUGCCCCGGUUCCUACCCCGGAUCCGGUGAACAGGGCGCAGAACGGGACGGAGGCUCUGAAAUUAUAAAAAAUUAAGAAAUGCAAAUUGUAAAUAAAUAAUUAAAAAAGUAAGUCUAAAUUUAAAAUGGGUAAACUUUUUACCCUAAUUUUUAAAAGUAAAAAUAAAAAGUAAAUCUAAAAUGAACAUAAGUCUAAAGACUGAGGCUUAAGUUUAAAAAUAUAAUCCUAAUAAUCUUAUAGCUGAUAUAAUAUAAUUUUUAAAAAUUUAAUUUUUUUAAAACCGGACAGGACGCCUCGGUUUCGCCCUGCCCCGAGACCCGUCCCGAAAUAUAACCGGGUCAACGGAGGGAGCACAAGCAUCAAAAUUUUAUGUUAAAUAAUAAUCCUCAGUGUUAAAAAAAUACAGGGAUUAUCAGAGAAGCUCAGCCUAGGGUGAGCUCAAAAGCGCUCACCCAGGUUGAGCCGCCCAAUAUAUAUCCUCUCCAUCAUGACCGUUGCACAAUUAUUAGUUUUAUAAUCCAGUUUUUGCACACAUCUUCAUGUGACCAAGAUUCUCCUUACACCUACCUAUACACUUAGCACCUACUUUUGUUCCUACCUUGUACCUUCACUUUGUUUUUUUUCUUACACCUUACACCUAGCACGUACGUCUUCUUUCUCUUUCACACGCAAUCUCAUUCUGCCCGACUCCUUCCUCAAUUUCUCUCAUCGUCGUCUCCUUUUUUUUUUGAAAUCACAGAUGGAAACCUAUAUUUUUCUUUUUCUCGCUGAAAACACAUCCUUAAUUUGUACGUAUUUGCAUUUCGCUUUUUUUCGUCCGUUAAUCAUGAAUCUCUUCAUCUCCUAUUAUUCGUUCAUGCAAACCCAUUUUUUUUCUUUUUCACACCGAAAACACAUCUUCUCCUCCGGUUUUUAUUGAUGUCUUCUAUGUAAGACUCUAACACGUUGUUUUUCGAAUCAUUGUUUUUCAUAUCGUUCUAAUCAUUUUCCAUGGUCUCUCUGAAACGGUUACAAAAAUUGUUUGUUAUUCUGUUGAAAACGUUGUCCCUCAAACGUAGCCCAAAUCAUUGUCCCUCUCACGGUUCAAAUAGUUGUUUCUCCUACGGUUCAAAUAGUUGUUCCUCAUACGGUCGAAAUAGUUGUUUCACAUACGGUCGAAAUUGUUGUUCCUCCUACAGUUCAAAUAGUUGUUCCUUCUAUAGUUCAAAUCGUUGGUCCUCCUACGGUUCAAAUAGUUGUUCCUUCUACUGUUCCAAUCAUCGUUCCUCCUACGCUUCAAAUAAUUGUUCCUCCGAUGAUUCAACUGGUUGUUCCUCCUGCGGUUCAAAUGGUUGUUUCCUCCUACGGUUCAAACCAUUUUAUCAUUCGUCGUUUACUAAUUUAUUCAUGUCAUUCCUUACACGUUCAGCAAUUGUUAUAUUAAAGGAACAAUAGUCAUACAUCAUUAUUAUAUGAACAAACAUUUACAACAGAACAGGAAUUUUACUAUUAAACGAACAAUAACCAUACAUCAUUAUUAUUAUCUGAAAUACAUUUACAACAGGACAGGAAUUCUAUUUCUAAAC
rnacentral:lncRNA from 1 species